GGGGAUAUAGCUCAGUGGUAGAGCACUUGCUUUGCAUAUAAGAGGCCUUGGGUUUUGUCCCUA
rnacentral:tRNA from 1 species